rnacentral:rRNA from 1 species
GUGAGGAAUUUUCCGCAAUGGGCGAAAGCCUGACGGAGCAAUGCCGCGUGAAGGAUGAAGGCCUAUGGGUUGUAAACUUCUUUUCUCAGAAAAGAAUUAUGACGGUAUCUGAGGAAUAAGCAUCGGCUAACUCUGUGCCAGCAGCCGCGGUAAGACAGAGGAUGCAAGCGUUAUCCGGAAUGAUUGGGCGUAAAGCGUCUGUAGGUUGUUUAAAAAGUAUUCUGUCAAAGAUUAGGGCUUAACCCUAGAUAGGCAGAAUAAACUUUUAAGAUAGAGUUUGGUAGAGGCAGAGGGAAUUCCCGGUGGAGCGGUGAAAUGCGUAGAUAUCGGGAGGAACACCAAAGGCGAAGGCACUCUGCUGGGCCAAUACUAACACUGAGAGACGAAAGCGAGGGGAGCCAAUGGGAUUAGAUACCCCAGUAGUCC